GCUGCCCAUGCCGCUCCGAAACAGACCCGCGACCCAACAGGUUCCCGAGCUCUGCCGCUUGCCAAGCAGGUGUCCCUCAAACCCCCCCGCUCCCCGAGCAUCCCCGUCCCGGGCGCGGAGCUCCCCGGGCCGGCAGCAGCUCACGCAUUCCCGCGGGAGAGAGAGGACAGCAUCAUGUAUUGAUGUGCCCUCCCCAUCUCACUCCCGGCCUCGUGGGACCCUUAUCCCCGGCAGACCCCGCUCUGGGCGCUCUCUCCCACGUUCAGCCCUGCACAUCGGGGCUGCUCCUUGGCAGGGCCAAGGACUUGGCCGCCGCCUCCUUCCUGUGUCUCAGCAGGGUGAGUCAGUGCCUCGCCGUGCCCAGCGCCAGCUCUGCCCGGAGCCUGGCCAGUGCCAAGCCGGAGUGGGGGACAUCCACUGUGCCCUUUGCUGUGGCUGGAAGGGAGUUUCCAGUGUCUGUGGCGUGUCCCGCCUGUCCCGUUCUCAGUGUGUUCCUCUCGCUGUCUGCAUAACAAAAGAUAACUGAGUAUUGUUUGUGUCCCAGCUCUAUUUUGGCUACUGUUGCUUUGCUGUCCCCCCUGUCUCCUGGGACCUCCUGCUGCCGAAAAUCGGCUUUGUGCUGGGCACCCGGAGCCUGCACCCCGGGCUGGCUUCAGCUUUCAGGGUGGUUUUGAAUUUUGUCCACGUAAAUGUUUAUCCCUGUCCAUAAGCACUCCCAGUCCUUCCUGCCUAAUGUUUGCACAGAGUGUGGGGUGCCACCACUGCGGUUUGGGGGGACCGGGCUGGUGUAGCACGGGUGGGGGUUUAUGGUCUCUGAGGAGCUGCGUGACCAAAUCUCUGCCGGGUACCUGCCGGACAGCCCCGUGUGGCCUCCGGGCAGCACCAGCCCCGGGGCCCCGUCCCUCCUGCCCCCCUGGCCGGCCCUGCCAGCGAGGGGCGAGGAGGCAGCGCCGGCAAUUAGCUCAGGUCUCUGCUAUGUGACACGUCUGUGUCUUCUGGCAGCAGAUGCUGCUGCGAGGCGUGGGGGCUGUUUGUCUGUUUGUGCGCACACGAGUUUCCGGAGCACCCCGGGGUCCCCAGAGCUCGCUGCAUCCCGAACCCCGCCGCGGGGACAGCACAUGUGGGUGCUGCCCGUGCAGAGUGACACGUUCCCAGAUCCCUCGCUGUCGUGGCCCCUUCAUCCUGCCUUGCCGGGAGGGCGUUGGAAAAGCACUGAUAUCAUCGGCACCGAGCCUGACUCAUCCUGGCUCUUCAGCACAAGCCGUGCCGCUCAGCGGGGCACACAUUUUAUUCCAAUUAAACCAUUACAGGCAA